GGCUCUCUGUCUACUUAAUUAAUAUAAACUCAAUUUAUUUUAAAAUGAAUGUAAUGGAUGUAACACAUCUAAUACUAAGUUUCAACAACGGAUCUCUUGGCUCUCGCAUCGAUGAAGAACGCAGCGAAAUGCGAUAAGUAAUGUGAAUUGCAGAAUUCAGUGAAUCAUCGAAUCUUUGAACGCACCUUGCGCUCCUUGGUAUUCCUUGGAGCAUGCCUGUUUGAGUAUCAUGAAAUCUUCAAAGUAAUAUCUUUUGUUAAUUCAAUUGGUUUUGCUUUGGUAUUGGAGGUCUAUUGCAGCUUCACACCUGCUCCUCUUUGUUCAUUAGCUGGAUCUCAGUGUUAUGCUUGGUUCCACUCAGCGUGAUAAGUUAUCUAUCGCUGAGGACACUUUUUCUACUCUGUAAAAAGAGUUUGGGAGGGGUGGCCAAGGUAAAUGCAGAUGAACCGCUUCUAAUAGUCCAUUGACUUGGACAAUCAAUAUUUAUGAUCUGAUCUCAAAUCAGGUAGGACUACCCGCUGAACUUAAGCAUAUUCUUGGUCAUUUUAGAGGAAGUAACAAGGAUUCCCCUAGUAACGGCGAGUGAAGCGGGAAGAGUUCAAAUUUAAAAUCUGGCGGUCUCACCGUCCGAGUUGUAGUCUAGAGAAGCAUCAUCUACGCUGGACCGUGUACAAGUCUCCUGAAU
rnacentral:sRNA from 1 species